rnacentral:misc_RNA from 1 species
GAUGAAGAACGUAGCGAAAUGCGAUACGUAAUGUGAAUUGCAGAAUUCAGUGAAUCAUCGAGUCUUUGAACGCACAUUGCGCCCCCUGGUAUUCCGGGGGGCAUGCCUGUCCGAGCGUCAUUGCUGCCCUCAAGCACGGCUUGUGUGUUGGGCCUCCGUCCUCCUCCCGGGGGACGGGCCCGAAAGGCAGCGGCGGCACCGCGUCCGGUCCUCGAGCGUAUGGGGCUUCGUCACCCGCUCUUGUAGGCCCGGCCGGCGCUUGCCGACACAUCAAUCUUUUUUCCAGGUUGACCUCGGAACAGGUAGGGAUACCCGCUGAACUUAAGCAUAUCAAUAAGCGGAGGA